AUGUACUAUGAUUCUGAAGUGGACGCGUAUAAUGGUCAUAACCACAAUGCACAUAAUCAUCACAACGACAAUGGGUGCAACCACAAUGGUCAUAGGGAUGGAAACAACAACCACGACCUAUCGACGCCCACCAAGAACGAUAUCAGUCAGUUACUUUGUUACAGGUGUAGGGACCUAGGGCAUUAUUCAAACAACUGCCCUCUGUUAAAGAACAUCAAUUAUGAUAGUGGGAGUUCCGGAGAGGACACGUCUGAUCACGUUGAAAGGGGACAUGUGAACCACACAAGGGUGGGAAGAGCCAAUAAGGCACCAGUCUUCGGGUUAUGUGAGCAUAGUUUAUUUAUCGAUGACUCCGUUAAUCGUAUAGAUGUCCAGAAUGUGAAGCGGAUCAGAAUUAAGCGUUAG
rnacentral:rRNA from 1 species